AAAAUUGAAGGUCGUCACCAUCGUUAACGACUUCGACGAUGCUGAGCCACAAGAGGAAGAUCUUAACAGAAACACCUUUGAGUUUCCUGAUUCUGCCUUUGGAAAUCACGCCUUGUAAGGUAGAUUUAUACUCCAAUUCAUAGGAAUCGAUUUUGAAUUUGCAUUUCUGACUCAAGUAGAGGCUGAAUUCACCGGUGGCUCUGUUCAAUUGAUAGCCGGUAGCACCUAUAGGAAGAAUGCCGACGGGGAAACCGUACUGUUGGAGAAUAUCGUAGGCGGUAAGAGCUUCUGGAUCGGAGACGAGAGAGGUUGAUAAUGAGAUUGAAGCAAGGAGAAGAAGAGAAGCCAUAAGUUUAGAGAAACU
rnacentral:lncRNA from 1 species